rnacentral:rRNA from 1 species
ACGGCAGCACAGAGAAGCUUGCUUCUUGGGUGGCGAGUGGCGAACGGGUGAGUAACAUAUCGGAACGUACCGAGCAGUGGGGGAUAACUAAUCGAAAGAUUAGCUAAUACCGCAUAUAUUCUGAGGAAGAAAGCAGGGGACCAUUUGGCCUUGCGCUGUUUGAGCGGCCGAUAUCUGAUUAGCUAGUUGGUGGGGUAAAGGCCUACCAAGGCGACGAUCAGUAGCGGGUCUGAGAGGAUGAUCCGCCACACUGGGACUGAGACACGGCCCAGACUCCUACGGGAGGCAGCAGUGGGGAAUUUUGGACAAUGGGCGCAAGCCUGAUCCAGCCAUGCCGCGUGUCUGAAGAAGGCCUUCGGGUUGUAAAGGACUUUUGUCAGGGAAGAAAAGGGCGGGGUUAAUACCCCUGUCUGAUGACGGUACCUGAAGAAUAAGCACCGGCUAACUACGUGCCAGCAGCCGCGGUAAUACGUAGGGUGCGAGCGUUAAUCGGAAUUACUGGGCGUAAGGCGGGCGCAGACGGUUACUUAAGCAGGAUGUGAAAUUCCCGGGCUCAACCUGGGAACUGCGUUCUGAACUGGGUGACUAGAGUGUGUCAGAGGGAGGUAGAAUUCCACGUGUAGCAGUGAAAUGCGUAGAGAUGUGGAGGAAUACCGAUGGCGAAGGCAGCCUCCUGGGAUAACACUGACGUUCAUGCCCGAAAGCGUGGGUAGCAAACAGGAUUAGAUANCCUGGUAGUCCACGCCCUAAACGAUGUCGAUUAGCUGUUGGGCAGCAUGACUGCUUAGUAGCGAAGCUAACG